rnacentral:rRNA from 1 species
GUAGGAACCUGCCGCGUCGUGGGGGAGUAACGCUGGGAAACUGGCGCUAAUACCGCAUGUGGUCAUGUGGAAACGCAUGAAGAAAGCAGCAAUGCGCGACGUGAGGGGCCUGCGGCCGAUUAGCUAGUUGGAGAGGUAAAGGCUCACCAAGGCGACGAUCGGUAGCUGGUCUGAGAGGAUGGUCAGCCACACUGGGACUGAGAUACGGCCCAG